GUCAACUAGCCUGAGUGCAGUUCACUGGUAGCAUGCUGAACCUCUCAGAUCUACACCUGGUAUGCCAGUAUAUUAGCUCUAGAAGCCCACUGGAUGACGGUAGAUAUCAAGUUGGAGGCUGUGUGUUUACGUUGGUGAUUGUCCCUUCAAGAUUCUAGUAUCGUCUCCAAAGUGGUGGUGGUGUUUUGCUCGUCAGAAAGAAGGACAAGUCUCUCUUGACACAGGUGUUUGCCAGAUGACUUGUUAAGGAGGUUAAACAUGUGCUGGCUUACCCCGGCAACGUUAUACAUCACCUUUCAAAAUAAAGGCUCACCACAUGCUGA